AUCUGUACUCUUUGGUUACAGUUGUUCAACCAGUUACUAAUCUAACUAACUGUAACCAGUUGAACAACUGAACCCAAAGGGUGCAAAGUGAAAACAUU
rnacentral:pre_miRNA from 8 species